CAGAGGUAAAGCAGAGAGCUGAACAGAGGUAAAGCAGAGAGCUGAACAGAGAGCUGAACAGAGGUACAGCAGAGAGCUGAACAGAGAGCUGAACAGAGGUACAGCAGUGGGGGGACGAGGAGGGAAGCGCUAUACAGUGUGGAGCAGCUGCUGGAAGAGACCACAGUGCAAUUAGCACUCAUGGAACGGAUGGCGGCGUCUCCCGCGCACUCAGGGGACCAGCGGUAAAAAUAGCACACGGACACACACUCGCACGCAGACACACACACUCGCACGCAGACACACACACUCGCACGCAGACACACACACUCGCACGCAGACACACACACUCGCACGCAGGCACACACACUCGCACGCAGACACACACACUCUCACGCAGACACAC
ensembl:lncRNA